AGAGUUUGAUCAUGGCUCAGAAUGAACGCUAGCGGCGUGGAUUAGGCAUGCAAGUCGAACGAGAAAGCACCUUCGGGUGUUAGUAAAGUGGCGAACGGGUGAGUAAUGCGUAAAUGAUCUACCCUCAUGACGGGGAUAACAGUUCGAAAGAACUGCUAAUACCGGAUGUGGUCCCCCAGGUUGCGGCCUGGGGAUUAAAGAUGGCCUCUAUUUUAAGCUGUCGCAUGAGGAGGAGUUUACGUGCUAUUAGCUAGUUGGUGGGGUAAUGGCCCACCAAGGCAAUGAUGGCUAGCCGGCCUGAGAGGGUGUCCGGCCACACUGGGACUGAGACACUGCCCAGACUCCUACGGGAGGCUGCAGUCGAGAAUCUUCCAUAAUGCGCGAAAGCGUGAUGGAGCGACGCCGCGUGUAUGAUGAAGGCUUUCGAGUUGUAAAACCCUGUUACCUACUAUGAACGGCGGGCGGUGAAUAGCCGUCUGACUGACGUCAACAGGCGAGAAAGCACCGGCUAAUUACGUGCCAGCAGCCGCGGUAAUACGUAUGGUGCGAACGUUGUUCGGAUUCAUUGGGCAUAAAGAGCGCGUAGGCGGUUUGGUUAGUCUGUUGUGAAAGCCCCCGGCUUAACCGGGGAACUGCAUCGGAUACUGCCGGACUCGAGUACAGUAGGGGAGAGUGGAAUUCCAGGUGGAGCGGUGAAAUGCGUAGAUAUCUGGAGGAACGCCAGUGGCGAAAGCGACUCUCUGGGCUGCUACUGACGCUGAGGUGCGAAAGCCAGGGGAGCAAACGGGAUUAGAUACCCCGGUAGUCCUGGCCCUAAACGAUGGGCACUAAGUGGAGGUGGUUCCGAUACCUUCUCUGCUGCAGCAAAUGUGUUAAGUGCCCCGCCUGGGGAGUAUGGUCGCAAGGCUAAAACUCAAAGGAAUUGACGGGGGCUCACACAAGCGGUGGAGCAUGUUGUUCAAUUCGAAGCAACGCGAAGAACCUUACCUGGGUUUGACAUGCUUAGGACAACCUAUGAAAGUAGGCUUUCUCUUCGGAGACCUUUGGACAGGUAUUGCAUGGCUGUCGUCAGCUCGUGCCGUGAGGUGUUGGGUUAAGUCCCUUAACGAGCGCAACCCUUGUCCUUAGUUGCCAGCGGGUAAAGCCGGGGACUUUAAGGAGACUGCCGGUGUUAAACCGGAGGAAGGCGGGGACGACGUCAAGUCAUCAUGGUCCUUACGUCCAGGGCCACAAACGUGCUACAAUGGCCGGUACAAAGCGAAGCGAAACCGCGAGGUCAAGCAAAUCGCAUAAAGCCGGUCCCAGUUCGGAUUGCAGGCUGAAACUCGCCUGCAUGAAGUUGGAAUCGCUAGUAAUCGCGGAUCAGCCAUGCCGCGGUGAAUGUGUUCCUGAGCCUUGUACACACCGCCCGUCAAGCCACCCAAAUAGGCCGCACCCGAAGUCGCCGACCGAACCGCAAGGACGGAGGCGCCGAAGGUGAGGUUUGUAAGGGGGACUAAGUCGUAACAAGGUAGCCG
rnacentral:rRNA from 1 species